rnacentral:misc_RNA from 1 species
UUUCCGUAGGUGAACCUGCGGAAGGAUCAUUAUCAUACAAAAUGUGAGGGGCAUGCGAGGGCUGUCGCUGCCCCAAAAGUCGUGCACGCACGCAAGUGUCCUCUUGCCUAAUACUCCAUCUCCCCCUUUGUGACUCACCGCGUGGGCAUCCUUCGGGAUCGGCUCGGUGGGGGGCUCGCGUUUUCAAACAAACUCCCCUUUUUAUCGUCUAAAAUAACCACAUUUUUACAAUCUAUACAACUUACAACAACGGUUCUCUUGCCUCUCGCAUCGAAGAAA